GGCCCGGCAGCACCGUACCCCCAGCGGCUACUGUUCCGGCCAUUUCAGUCCACGGUCGAAAAUCUUACCCGCCCCACAAAUGUACGGCUAAUGGGGAACGGACAUGAGCGAAAACGGAUAAAUCACGAUUCGACACGAAAAGGACGACGCAGGCACUUAAAAGAUGGGGUAUGAAUUAUUUACAAUUUUAGAGGAACUUUUUUCCCGAAAGGCACGGGAUACGCGCAAGGAACGAAGGAAGCAAAAUGGAAGGAGAAAUAAGUGUUGUUGUAAGGGUAGGAUGAUUCUCGGAAGAAAUAUCAAUCUUUUGUAGUGUAGCGUGUGUGUUUGAGUCAAUUGAACUAACAAAAAAACGUGUUAAAUCAAUAAUAUGUACAAAUUCCAAGCAUUAA